UACGUAGGGGGCAAGCGUUGUCCGGAUUUACUGGGCGUAAAGAGCGUGUAGGCGGCUAAGCAGGUCCGUUGUGAAAACUGGAGGCUUAACCUCCAGACGUCGACGGAAACCGCGUGGCUAGAGUCCGGAAGAGGAGAGUGGAAUUCCUGGUGUAGCGGUGAAAUGCGCAGAUAUCAGGAAGAACACCAAUGGCGAAGGCAGCGCUCUGGGACGGGACUGACGCUGAGACGCGAAAGCGUGGGGAGCGAACAGG
rnacentral:rRNA from 1 species